rnacentral:lncRNA from 1 species
CGCAUGCGCAGGGAGGGGUUGGCGCACCCACGUGGUGCUGGGUGAGGUAAAUACGGAGGAGCGUUGUCUGUGGGGGAGCUCGUAGCUGUGCGAGGGGGAGCGAUGGGGCUCGGUGUGCCUCAGGGGCAGGAGGUGGGGGUCUCCGCCUGAGAGGUUACUGGGGCUGCUGCUGAGCGUCCUGAGCGAGGCAGAGCCGUGCUGGCUUUGGGAGGCGCUCAGCUGGGAGCUGUGAGGCAGGCACUGCCUGUUGGCUGGGCGGAAGGGCCCUGCUGAGCAGCGCUGAGCGCUGUGCCCUUCCCUCAUGCUGCCCGGUGCGCGGGGAGCCGUGCCCUGCUCCUCAUCCCUGUGAGGUGUUCACUGGGAUCUCGUGCUUUGGCUCCCGUUACACCUACCUUAUAAACCCUACUGGCAGCGAGGCCUUGUCACCUGAAAUAAGCAAAGUUAGGCAACUCGGGGAGUGUGGGGAGGUGAGCAGCUCUGAGGUAUGGCCCUGCUGCUCCUCGUUGUGAGUUUAAUUUCUGGGCUGAGGGAAAUUAGUUUGUAAGCUAGGUGCGAGGUGAGCUGUGCCCAGCAUGGCUUUGUUGUGAACGAAUUGAGCCAAUCUCAUCUCCAUCUCUGGCAGUGCAGCAGCUUGCAGAUCAUCUCCUUUAGAGGCUUAUUGUGGAGACUGAAAAUUCUGCAGAACGUGGUGUUUCUAUUUGGAGGACAGUUCUACAUCCAGUUACUUAAUCUGAAAAGGAACAGCAGGAUAAAUAAUCACAGAGGGGAUUUGAAGUGUUGAUGUAGAAUUAUGAGGAUCAAAAAAAGAAAUGGGAAGAUGGUAUCUACCCUGGGAGUCUGGAGAUGCUCAUGCUCUUGAGUUUUGUUGCAACACAGAAAUAAAGGGUGCAUGUUGUGGUUCUGCUCCUGACACAGCUCUUUUGCCAUGCAGGAAGCCUCUGAGGAAGUUGCCCUGCAGCUAACUGAAAAACAUGGCUUCAAUGUGAGAAGUAACUGAAGCACACAUUGGCAGUGGGUGGCAGAAGGGCCCAAGGUUUCAAAAGCAAACUGCAUGGGACCGCUGAAGAAACAGUCCAUUGAAAACCCACCUCAUGUAAGUUUUAGGCAAAGGUGGUCUCCAGCCCUUUCAAGCAGAAUUUCAAGUUGCUGAGCUCAUCCUCCAGCACCACUUGGUACUACUCAGGGUAGCACUUCCAUUGCCAGGAUCCAGCUCAGUAGAACAGUCCAUCUUUGCUCUCAUCAUUUGGCCCAAGCACACCUCAGCACCCAGCAAGUUCCCUCAUUCCUACUGAAGAGAUGGGAAUCCAGUGUUCAUCCUGAGUACCCUGCUACACCUUCUGCUUCCGUUUCCAUUUGCAAGAAGUGUUUGCUGCUUCUGUGGAAUUUAUUAAAGAUUUCUUUAAUAAAACUACUGUUG